UUGUGUUCGAAUGACUUUUUUAACUUGGCGUGGACGCGUCCAUGCCAACAAUGGCGUGGACGCGUCCACGCCAAGUUAAAAAAGUAAUUAGAACAUAA